rnacentral:lncRNA from 1 species
AUAAAUAUUUUAUAAUAUAAUAAUAUUAUUUUUAGUUACCAUAUUACCAAACGGAAAAUAUUUCUUGUACGCUAAAAAGGAAGUGUAAAUCUUAUACCCUCCAUCCUACGAUUGAUAAAAAUUUAAAUAAAUUUUAAAUAAAAAUAAAAAUUGAUAUGACAAGUAAAAUAUUAAUGACUUUAAAAUAGAGUGUGUGUAAGAUGUACACCCUAUUUUGAUGUGUAUCAAUAGUAUUGCUCUUAUCAA